CUUGGUCAUUUAGAGGAAGUAAAAGUCGUAACAAGGUUUCCGUAGGUGAACCUGCGGAAGGAUCAUUAACGAAUUUUGGAGGGAGGAUUGUUCUGGCUCUCGGGCAUUGUGAACGUCCUCCCAACUCAUCCAAUCAUACCCUGUGUGCACUGUUGGAGGUAGCAUCGACUAUUAUAGUCGGAUUGGACCGCUGCAACUCUGUGUAGUGCUUUGGUCUUUUCCUGCUGCCUCUCUUUUUUCUACAAAUGCCUGUUUAACAGAAUGUAUGCCUGUAUAAUCAUUAUACAACUUUCAACAACGGAUCUCUUGGCUCUCGCAUCGAUGAAGAACGCAGCGAAAUGCGAUAAGUAAUGUGAAUUGCAGAAUUCAGUGAAUCAUCGAAUCUUUGAACGCAUCUUGCGCCCUUUGGUAUUCCUUGGGGCACACCUGUUUGAGUGUCAUGUACAUCUCGACUAGCUAUUUUUUGUAGCUGGCUCGGUUUUGGAGAGUUGCCGGAUUGCAUGAUCUGGCUCUUUCCUGAAUUCAUUAGUCAAGGUUUCAACCACUUGCAUUGGCGUAGCAAAGCUUUCGCCGCAUAUACUGUGGAAUUAUGAGACCGUUUGGCUCUCUAAAGCCCAAAUUUUUGUGUUUUGACCUCAAAUCAGGUGGGACUACCCGCUGAACUUAAGCAUAUCAAUAAGCGGAGGA
rnacentral:rRNA from 1 species